GGUGCAUGGAAUAAUGGAAUAGGAUCUCGGUUCUAUUUUGUUGGUUUUCGGUUCCCGAGAUAAUGAUUGAGAGGGACAGACGGGGGCAUUCGUAUUGCGGCGCUAGAGGUGAAAUUCUUGGACCGCUGCAAGACGAACUACUGCGAAAGCAUUUGCCAAGAAUGUUUUCAUUAAUCAAGAACGAAAGUUAGAGGUUCGAAGGCGAUCAGAUACCGCCCUAGUUCUAACCAUAAACGAUGCCAACCAGCGAUCCGCCCGAGUUCCCUAAACGACUCGGCGGGCAGCUUCCGGGAAACCAAAGUCUUUGGGUUCCGGGGGAAGUAUGGUUGCAAAGCUGAAACUUAAAGGAAUUGACGGAAGGGCACCACCAGGAGUGGAGCCUGCGGCUUAAUUUGACCCAACACGGGGAAACUUACCCGGCCCGGACACCGGAAGGAUUGACAGAUUGAUAGCUCUUUCUUGAUUCGGUGGAUGGUGGUGCAUGGCCGUUCUUAGUUGGUGGAGCGAUUUGUCUGGUUAAUUCCGAUAACGAACGAGACUCUAGCCUGCUAAAUAGACCCACGGUCCUUGGUACCGUGAGCGGGUCUUCUUAGAGGGACAGGCGGCUCUUAGCCGUACGAAACAGAGCAAUAACAGGUCUGUGAUGCCCUUAGAUGUCCGGGGCCGCACGCGCGCUACACUGAAGGAAUCAGCGUGU
rnacentral:rRNA from 1 species